rnacentral:rRNA from 1 species
CCCCUUCGGGGCGGUAAACUACCUUUCCGUACUGGGAAGGAUAAUGACGGUACCAGUGGGAAGAAGCACCGGCUAACUCUGUGC